rnacentral:rRNA from 1 species
AAAUUGAAGAGUUUGAUCAUGGCUCAGAUUGAACGCUGGCGGCAGGCCUAACACAUGCAAGUCGAACGGUAACAGGAUACAGCUUGCUGUUUCGCUGACGAGUGGCGGACGGGUGAGUAAUGUCUGGGAAACUGCCUGAUGGAGGGGGAUAACUACUGGAAACGGUAGCUAAUACCGCAUAACGUCGCAAGACCAAAGAGGGGGACCUUCGGGCCUCUUGCCAUCGGAUGUGCCCAGAUGGGAUUAGCUAGUAGGUGAGGUAACGGCUCACCUAGGCGACGAUCCCUAGCUGGUCUGAGAGGAUGACCAGCCACACUGGAACUGAGACACGGUCCAGACUCCUACGGGAGGCAGCAGUGGGGAAUAUUGCACAAUGGGCGCAAGCCUGAUGCAGCCAUGCCGCGUGUAUGAAGAAGGCCUUCGGGUUGUAAAGUACUUUCAGCGG